rnacentral:rRNA from 1 species
CGGCAGCCUAUACAUGCAGUCGAACGAGUUCUCGUUGAUGAUCGGUGCUUGCACCGAGAUUCAACAUGGAACGAGUGGCGGACGGGUGAGUAACACGUGGGUAACCUGCCCUUAAGUGGGGGAUAACAUUUGGAAACAGAUGCUAAUACCGCAUAGAUCCAAGAACCGCAUGGUUCUUGGCUGAAAGAUGGCGUAAGCUAUCGCUUUUGGAUGGACCCGCGGCGUAUUAGCUA